GAGGGUAGAGCUCAGUGGUAGAGCACGUGCUUAGCAUGCAUGAGGUCCUGAGUUCAAUCCCCAGUCCCUCCA
rnacentral:tRNA from 1 species